GCUUGUCUCAAAGAUUAAGCCAUGCAUGUCUAAGUAUAACUCUUUUACUUUGAAAACUGCGAACGGCUCAUUAUAUCAGUUAUAGUUUCUUUGAUAGUCCCUUACUACUUGGAUACCCGUAGUAAUUCUAGAGCUAAUACAUGACUCAAAGACCGACUUACGAAGGUCUGUGUUUAUUAGAUGGAAACCAAAGCGGGGAAACCCGGAUUUAUGGUGAUUCAUAAUAACCCUCCGAUCGGCUAUGCCGACGCAUCAUUCAAGUUUCUGCCCUAUCAGCUUUGGACGGUAGGGUAUUGGCCUACCGUGGCUUUAACGGGUAACGGAGAAUUAGGGUUCGAUUCCGGAGAGGGAGCCUGAGAAAUGGCUACCACAUCCAAGGAAGGCAGCAG
rnacentral:rRNA from 1 species